GUGUCAGCAGCCGCGGUAAGACGGAGGAGGCUAGCGUUGUUCGGAAUUACUGGGCGUAAAGCGCGCGCAGGCGGCUUAGCAAGUCAGGGGUGAAAGCCCGGGGCUCAACCUCGGAACUGCCUUUGAGACUGCUAGGCUCGAGACCGAGAGAGGAGAGUGGAAUUCCCAGUGUAGAGGUGAAAUUCGUAGAUAUUGGGAAGAACACCAGUGGCGAAGGCGGCUCUCUGGCUCGGUACUGACGCUGAGGCGCGAAAGCGUGGGGAGCAAACAGGAUUAGAAACCCUCGUAGUCC
rnacentral:rRNA from 1 species